UGCAGUCGACGAUGAUCAGGAGCUUGCUCCUGUGAUUAGUGGCGAACGGGUGAGUAACACGUGAGUAACCUGCCCCUGACUCUGGGAUAAGCGUUGGAAACGACGUCUAAUACUGGAUAUGAUCACUGGCCGCAUGGUCUGGUGGUGGAAAGAUUUUUUGGUUGGGGAUGGACUCGCGGCCUAUCAGCUUGUUGGUGAGGUAAUGGCUCACCAAGGCGACGACGGGUAGCCGGCCUGAGAGGGUGACCGGCCACACUGGGACUGAGACACGGCCCAGACUCCUACGGGAGGCAGCAGUGGGGAAUAUUGCACAAUGGGCGAAAGCCUGAUGCAGCAACGCCGCGUGAGGGAUGACGGCCUUCGGGUUGUAAACCUCUUUUAGUAGGGAAGAAGCGAAAGUGACGGUACCUGCAGAAAAAGCACCGGCUAACUACGUGCCAGCAGCCGCGGUAAUACGUAGGGUGCAAGCGUUGUCCGGAAUUAUUGGGCGUAAAGAGCUCGUAGGCGGUUUGUCGCGUCUGCUGUGAAAUCCCGAGGCUCAACCUCGGGCUUGCAGUGGGUACGGGCAGACUAGAGUGCGGUAGGGGAGAUUGGAAUUCC
rnacentral:rRNA from 1 species